rnacentral:rRNA from 1 species
AUUGAACGCUGGCGGCAUGCCUUACACAUGCAAGUCGAACGGUAACAGGUCUUCGGAUGCUGACGAGUGGCGAACGGGUGAGUAAUACAUCGGAACGUGCCUAGUAGUGGGGGAUAACUACUCGAAAGAGUGGCUAAUACCGCAUGAGAUCUACGGAUGAAAGCAGGGGAUCGAAAGACCUUGUGCUACUAGAGCGGCCGAUGGCAGAUUAGGUAGUGGGUGGGAUAAAAGCUUACCAAGCCGACGAUCUGUAGCUGGUCUGAGAGGACGAUCAGCCACACUGGGACUGAGACGCGGCCCAGACUCCUACGGGAGGCAGCAGUGGGGAAUUUUGGACAAUGGGCGCAAGCCUGAUCCAGCAAUGCCGCGUGCAGGAUGAAGGCCUUCGGGUUGUAAACUGCUUUUGUACGGAACGAAAAGCCCCGGGUUAAUACCCUGGGGUCAUGACGGUACCGUAAGAAUGAGCACCGGCUAACUACGUGCCAGCCGCCGCCGUAA